rnacentral:rRNA from 1 species
UACGUAGGUGGCAAGCGUUGUCCGGAUUUACUGGGCGUAAAGAGCGCGCAGGCGGUCGUCCAAGUCGCGUGUGAAAGCCCCCGGCUCAACUGGGGAGGGUCACGCGAUACUGGUCGACUCGAAGGCAGGAGAGGGUAGUGGAAUUCCCGGUGUAGUGGUGAAAUGCGUAGAUAUCGGGAGGAACACCAGUGGCGAAGGCGACUACCUGGCCCUGUUCUUGACGCUGAGGCGCGAAAGCUAGGGGAGCAAACAGG